UGUCAGAGAUCUUGGAUGCAAGUGACAGAAACCCAGCUGGCAUGAAGACUGGUUCAAGACGGUGGAGUAGAAGGACAUGCACUCACCUCCUCCUAUGAGAGCACCAAAAUCACAGCUAGCUGUUGGACAAUUGACAGGAGGAUGCUGGGACCCACCAAAAAAACGUACCCCUACAUCCAAAGACAAAGGAAAAGCCGCAGUAAGACAGUAGGAAGGACACAAUCAUAAUAAAAUCAAAUUCCACUAAGUGGGCAACUGCAAAAUGGAGGACAGUUCUACCAAAGAAGUCCUUCCAGUGUGGUGAAGGUUCUGAGCCCCACAGCAGGCUUCCCAGCUUGGGGAUCCAGCAAAGGUAAUAGGAAUCCCCAGGGAACCUGACUUUGCAGGCCAGUGGGACUUGACCAUAGGACUUGCACAGACUCCAGUCUUGACACUAAGUCUUGUGCACACCAGGACCCAGGGGAAAGGAGCAGUGACCCCAUAAGACACUGAGCCAGACCCACCUGCUAACGUCGGAGGCUCUCCUGUGGAGGCAUGGGUUGACAGUGGCGGUGGCUCGCUAUGGGGACUGGGACACUGGCAGCAGCAGUCCCGGGAGGUGCCCCUUGGCAUGAGCCCUCUUGGAGGUCACCAUUAACCCUACCAUAGAGCCUAUAGACUCCAGGGCUGGGUUGCCUCACACCAAACAACUAACAGGGAGGGAGCAGAGCUCCACUCAUCAACAGACAAUUGUGUUACAGUUUAACUGAGGCCUGCCCUGUCCACCAGAGCAAGACCCAGUUUUUCCCAUCGUUAGUCUCUCCCAUCAGGAAGCUUACACAAGCCUCAUCCACCAGAGGGCAGACAGAACGAGCAAGAAGAACCACAAUCCUGUAGCUGCCAGAAUGAAAACUAUAUCACAGAAAGUUAAUCAAAAUGAAAACAAAGAGGAUUGUGUCCCCAGAGGAAGAGAGAAGAUAAAACCCCAGAAAAACAACUAAAUGAAGUGGAGAUAAGCAACCUUCCAGAAAAACAAUUCAGAAUAAUGAUAGUGAAGAUGAUCCAGGAUCUUGGAAAAAGAAUGGAGAAGAUGCAAGAACUAAAGAACAACCAGAGAUGGAUAAUACACCAGAAGGAAUCCAGAGCAGAAAAACUGAGGCAGAAGCAUGAAUAAAUGACUUGGCAGACAGGACGGUGGAAAUCACUGCAGCAGAACAGAAUAGGGAGAAAAGAAUGAAAAGAAAUGAAGACAGCCUAAGAGACCUCUGGGACAACAUUAAACACAAACAUUUGCAUUAUAGAGGUCUCAGAAGAAGAGAGAAAGGACCUGAGAAAAUAUUUGAAGAGAUGGUAGCUGAAAACUUCCCUAACGUGGGAAACGGAGAAGGCAGUGGCACCCCACUCCAGUACUCUUGCCUGGAAAAUCCCAAGGACGGGGGAGCCUGGUUAGCUGCCGUCUAUGGGGUCGCACAGAGUCGGACACGACUGAAGCGACUUAGCAGCAACUUGGGAAAGGAAAUAGUCAACCAAGUCCUGGAAGUGCAGAGUCCCAGGCAGGAUAAACUAAGGAAGAACACACUAAGACACAUACUAAUCAAACUAACAA
ensembl:lncRNA